rnacentral:rRNA from 1 species
AUGAACGCUAGCUACAGGCUUAACACAUGCAAGUCGAGGGGCAGCAUGAACUUAGCUUGCUAAGUUUGAUGGCGACCGGCGCACGGGUGAGUAACACGUAUCCAACCUGCCGAUGACUCGGGGAUAGCCUUUCGAAAGAAAGAUUAAUACCCGAUGGCAUAGUUCUUCCGCAUGGUAGAACUAUUAAAGAAUUUCGGUCAUCGAUGGGGAUGCGUUCCAUUAGGUUGUUGGCGGGGUAACGGCCCACCAAGCCUUCGAUGGAUAGGGGUUCUGAGAGGAAGGUCCCCCACAUUGGAACUGAGACACGGUCCAAACUCCUACGGGAGGCAGCAGUGAGGAAUAUUGGUCAAUGGACGAGAGUCUGAACCAGCCAAGUAGCGUGAAGGAUGACUGCCCUAUGGGUUGUAAACUUCUUUUAUACGGGAAUAAAGUGAGGCACGUGUGCCUUUUUGUAUGUACCGUAUGAAUAAGGAUCGGCUAACUCCGUGCCAGCAGCCGCGGUAAUACGGAGGAUCCGAGCGUUAUCCGGAUUUAUUGGGUUUAAAGGGAGCGUAGGCGGACGCUUAAGUCAGUUGUGAAAGUUUGCGGCUCAACCGUAAAAUUGCAGUUGAUACUGGGUGUCUUGAGUACAGUAGAGGCAGGCGGAAUUCGUGGUGUAGCGGUGAAAUGCUUAGAUAUCACGAAGAACUCCGAUUGCGAAGGCAGCUUGCUGGACUGUAACUGACGCUGAUGCUCGAAAGUGUGGGUAUCAAACAGGAUUAGAUACCCUGGUAGUCCACACAGUAAACGAUGAAUACUCGCUGUUUGCGAUAUACAGUAAGCGGCCAAGCGAAAGCGUUAAGUAUUCCACCUGGGGAGUACGCCGGCAACGGUGAAACUCAAAGGAAUUGACGGGGGCCCGCACAAGCGGAGGAACAUGUGGUUUAAUUCGAUGAUACGCGAGGAACCUUACCCGGGCUUGAAUUGCAACUGAAUGAUGUGGAGACAUGUCAGCCGCAAGGCAGUUGUGAAGGUGCUGCAUGGUUGUCGUCAGCUCGUGUCGUGAGAUGUUGGGUUAAGUCCCGCAACGAGCGCAACCCUUAUCGAUAGUUACCAUCAGGUUAUGCUGGGGACUCUGUCGAGACUGCCGUCGUAAGAUGUGAGGAAGGUGGGGAUGACGUCAAAUCAGCACGGCCCUUACGUCCGGGGCUACACACGUGUUACAAUGGGGGGUACAGAGGGCCGCUACCACGCGAGUGGAUGCCAAUCCCUAAAACCCCUCUCAGUUCGGACUGGAGUCUGCAACCCGACUCCACGAAGCUGGAUUCGCUAGUAAUCGCGCAUCAGCCACGGCGCGGUGAAUACGUUCCCGGGCCUUGUACACACCGCCCGUCAAGCCAUGAAAGCCGGGGGUACCUGAAGUGCGUAACCGCAAGGAGCGCCCUAGGGUAAAACUGGUGAUUGGGGCU